UCCUCAUGGAGGCAUACGAGGAGGUAAAAGAUAUAAUUAAGAAGAAAGGCAACACCGCCACAGUGAUAAAGCAAAGAGAAAAAGCGUGGCAAAGUAUUGCAGACCGCCUGAAUGCAUUAAACAUGAACGGGCCAAAACGGACAUGGCAGCAGGUCAAAAUCAAAUACAAGAACAUUCUGCAGAAUGCAGUGAAAAAGAAUACCCACAGACAAGGCACGGGUGGUGGGUCACCAAAGGCUGACCUUACCCCAGCAGAGGACAUGGCCUUGGAGCUAAAUAAAGGCAGGCCCAUCUUAGAGGGGAUCCCUGGGGGGAAAGAGACGAGCAAAGGUUCCUCCCAAGAUGCCACCCGCUUCAUUCAAGUGUCUGGCAGCACUGUGUUCCUGUUAGAGCCACCAGCACAAGCACCAGACGAUGCUGAUCCAGGUGAAGGCCCCAGUGCAGCAGCAACAGCACAUGAUGGAGACGAUGAUGAUGAGGAGGAGACCAUCUCUCUGGAUUCCAGAAGGCAUGAGGUAUCAUGGACCCAGAUGCUACACAGUGGGAAAACCAGCCUGGCAACAUAAGCUCACAAGCUAUCAGAAAGUUGUAUGGCAACCACCUCCGGCGCCAAAUAGAACUGGCAGACAUAGACAUUCAGUACAAGAAGAAAAAGAUGGAAAAUCUUGCACUGGAGUCCGAAAUAAAAAAGAGGACAAUUAGGAAACUGGACCUUGAAAUAAAAAAACUUGAGAGGGAGGUGAGAUAUGCCUUCAAUGUACACUGUAUGCUAACUGUAACACAAAUGUAUUAAUCAUUAUUUGUAUUUCCUCCCCCAGCUCCAAGAAGAUGACACAGCUCAAAAUAAAAAUUAGCAAUCAGUACAACCAAGUCAUCGUUAUAAGGCAUCGCCCUCUUUUGCCCACCCCCCCAGCACCAGGUCUGGCCACUAGCCUAUAUGAAGGCCCAAAAUUGUGUGUUCCUUUCUGCUCUGACAAUGGCAUGCCCAUUCGUGCGAGAUGUGGUGGAUGAAGAAGCACUUGUGCUGAGGAGAGCCUUCAGGCGAGAAAGGGUCUUCAGGGACUGGUUGGACCCACUGGCCUUCCCUGAUGACCAUCUAUA